AACGAACGCUGGCGGCAUGCCUAACACAUGCAAGUCGAACGAGACCUUCGGGUCUAGUGGCGCACGGGUGCGUAACGCGUGGGAACCUGCCCUUAGGUUCGGAAUAACUCCCCGAAAGGGGUGCUAAUACCGGAUAAUGUCUUCGGACCAAAGAUUUAUCGCCUUUGGAUGGGCCCGCGUUGGAUUAGCUAGUUGGUAGGGUAAAAGCCUACCAAGGCGACGAUCCAUAGCUGGUCUGAGAGGAUGAUCAGCCACACUGGGACUGAGACACGGCCCAGACUCCUACGGGAGGCAGCAGUGGGGAAUAUUGGACAAUGGGCGAAAGCCUGAUCCAGCAAUGCCGCGUGAGUGAUGAAGGCCUUAGGGUUGUAAAGCUCUUUUACCCGGGAUGAUAAUGACAGUACCGGGAGAAUAAGCUCCGGAUAACUCCGU
rnacentral:rRNA from 1 species